UAUGCCUAGCCAGAGUGAGUUCAAGACC
rnacentral:piRNA from 1 species